UAUCUAUUUAUGACAAAGGAUAACAGCAUAUCGGGCUGUAUUAGUAGCAGCACUGCCAGCAGAUCGAAGGAAGUGAUUAUUCCCCUCUAUUCGGCACUGGUGAGCCCACAACUGGAGUAUUGU